CGGGAAAGGGAACAUGGUUUGUUCAAUCCAUUGUCGAUACAUUUUAUCGUGAAGCACACAAAUAUGACGUUUUACAAAUGUUGGUGAAUGUCAAUCACGCGAUCUCUCAAAAGCAAACAACAAUGGGCAAUAAACAGGCACCAGAGAUAGUUACCAGCUUACGAAAGAAAGUUUUCUUCAACAUAACUCCAGGCAUCGGUCAAACGUGUCUAAUUUGGUUCAGUUUUGUUGUGGGAUAUGGUUGAUUGGGCGAGUAAUGACCCACCCACUUAUUGUCCAUGUGGUUCAAGU